ACGUAGGGACCAGGCGUUGUUCGGAUUUACUGGGCGUAAAGGGCGCGUAGGCGGCGUGUUAAGUCAGCUGUGAAAUCUCCGAGCUUAACUCGGAACGGUCAGCUGAUACUGAUGUGCUAGAGUGCAGAAGGGGCAAUCGGAAUUCUUGGUGUAGCGGUGAAAUGCGUGGAUAUCAAGAGGAACACCUGAGGUGAAGACGGGUUGCUGGGCUGACACUGACGCUGAGGCGCGAAAGCGUGGGGAGCAAACAGGA
rnacentral:rRNA from 1 species